GGACUUGCACACGUGGCCCGCGUAGUACAACGGGAAGAACAGAAAGUUCCAGUUGGUGGCGAACCAGGGAUUCCCACAAUUUAAGGAAAACUCAAUUCCAGACAAAAGCAAUCACUUUUUGAUGUACACACAGAUUACCUGCCAGUUUUGCUUGGCUUCUGCAGCCCUUCAUUACAGGGGGACAUAUAAGGGAUCCACACUCUAAUCAGCAGAAGCAGUACCUAGGGGCAACAUCUACUCAGCAGAAGGAAACUCUGCACCACAAUGAGUGAGUGACCUGGAGCUCUCAUUUUAGCCAUGAGCUCAUCUAGGGACCAAGGCAAGUCCUGUACCCCACAAACUAUUCACUGCUUUUCCUCUGGGAAAAUGAACAACUGUGCGCUCUUUAUGUUUAUUUAGUGAAAAUCACUUGUAUAGUGAUAAACCAAGAAGAAUUAGAAAAUCAUUUGCUUUCUCCUAAAGUUUCCAUAAAAUGACUGUCUUGCACUGCCAAGAAAACAUGAAUAUUUCUUGACAAGGCCCCUUGGAAUAAGCAGAUCUUGCUGAUGACCUUUGUGGAAAUGUCUUCAGGGACAGUCCUGUCCUCAGGGUAAAGAAUGAAGAACUGAGAUCACAUCUCAGACACCACUGGCUGGCAUGCCCCAAGCCUCCCACAAGCAUGGCAGAUGAAACUGUGUAGAGAAUGGGAGGAGAUGGCUUUCACCUGGCAUCUACAUCCACAAAACUUAUAGAGUUACUUUCUUUCAACUUUAUCGAGGUAUAAUUUUCUUACCAUAAAAUUUCAUCGUCUGUGUACAGCUCAAUGCUUUUAGUUCACAGUUUGUAAGUUAAUAGAACUGUGAAACCAUCACUAUCAACAGAUUUAGAACAGUUUUGUCACCCAAAGUGAGUUCUCAUGUCUAGUUGAAGUCACUCCUCGUGCCUACCCUCUACCCCAAUGAAUUGUGAGUCUUGUUUUCUGUCUCUAUAAGUUUGCUUAUUCUGGAUAUGUUUACCUUUUUUAUUCCUAGAGUGACUAGGGAAAGACAGGCCUUAGUGAACAAUUUCCCAUUUAUUCAUAUUACUAGAUGCUCCAAUUCAGGGCUCUUACAAAAUGAGAAGCUUGGAAGAAAGCUUCUGCUUAUGGUCAUUUGCAAAUAUAAUUUAUGUUCCAAAAAUGCAUUUUGGGUUUGGUUUCUCUCUUAUACUCAUUAAA